AUAACAAGUUCCAGUCCAGCUAGGGAUCCAUAGUGAGACCCUGGGCCACAGCCACUACAAUAACAACAAAAAUGCCAAGAACUCCGUCUGAAUAACAGCUACAGUUCCAUUCCCAUCAGCCUCAGCAGUUGCCCAGGACGGAACCGUCCCCUUGUGCACAGAAUGAAGCUAGUCUCCUGACUCCCCCCCACACACACUGUCUUCUUGUCCCCUGCCUGCCCUAGCUAAGUAAGCUGGGAACAGGACCUCCUGCCUCAGCAUCUCUGCUUGCAGCUAACCUUCCUGUCAGGCCCCGCUCCAGAAGCACACCGCUCUGGUGCCCAGCCAGGCUCCUCCUGCUUCUAUCCUCAGAACAACGCCGAGCUCUUGUACACAAAAAUAGAUAGCAUUCAGGCGGACAUCUUGGCGGCCAACAAGGUCAAUGUUACCAAAGCCUUACACCUCUGUGAAGGCACCAACAGCUGCUUCAGCUUUUUCAUGGGUCCUGGAGAUAUGAACGAGGUGGAAUACAUCACCCACUUUGAGAGGCGUCCUUCGGAACCCAAGGAGUGACAGGAACCCCGGGGCAAACCAGGAAGGCCAAGGCUGUGCCUCGCAGAAGCCUGCCUGGCAGCAGGAAGGCUUUGAAGAAAGUGCCACUUGGUUCUGGGUGGGAAGCUGGGAGAUAGAAAAUGCAGCGGGGAAGAGGGGAAGCCGCUGCUGCCGAAGUCUAAUAAAGAGUUUCGAUAUCUCGUA